rnacentral:rRNA from 1 species
UACAGAGGUGGCAAGCGUUGUUCGGAAUUACUGGGCGUAAAGGGCGCGUAGGCGGCCUACUAAGUCAGACGUGAAAUCCCCCGGCUUAACCUGGGAACUGCGUCUGAUACUGGAAGGCUUGAGGAUGGGAGAGGGAUGUAGAAUUCCAGGUGUAGCGGUGAAAUGCGCAGAUAUCUGGAGGAACACCAGUGGCGAAGGCGGCUUCCUGGCCUGUAACUGACGCUGAGACGCGAAAGCGUGGGGAGCGAACCGG